rnacentral:rRNA from 1 species
UACGUAGGGUGCGAGCGUUAAUCGGAAUUACUGGGCGUAAAGCGUGCGUAGGCGGUUUCUUAAGUCAGAUGUGAAAGCCCCGGGCUUAACCUGGGAACUGCGUUUGAAACUGGGAGACUUGAGUGUGGCAGAGGGGGGUGGAAUUCCACGUGUAGCAGUGAAAUGCGUAGAGAUGUGGAGGAACACCGAUGGCGAAGGCAGCCCCCUGGGCUAACACUGACGCUCAUGCACGAAAGCGUGGGGAGCAAACAGG